rnacentral:rRNA from 1 species
AUUGAACGCUGGCGGAAUGCUUUACACAUGCAAGUCGAACGGCAGCACGGACUUCGGUCUGGUGGCGAGUGGCGAACGGGUGAGUAAUAUAUCGGAACGUGCCCAGUCGUGGGGGAUAACGUAGUGAAAAUUACGCUAAUACCGCAUACGAUCUACGGAUGAAAGCGGGGGAUCGCAAGACCUCGCGCGAUUGGAGCGGCCGAUAUCAGAUUAGGUAGUUGGUGGGGUAAAGGCUCACCAAGCCAACGAUCUGUAGCUGGUCUGAGAGGACGACCAGCCACACUGGAACUGAGACACGGUCCAGACUCCUACGGGAGGCAGCAGUGGGGAAUUUUGGACAAUGGACGCAAGUCUGAUCCAGCCAUUCCGCGUGCAGGACGAAGGCCUUCGGGUUGUAAACUGCUUUUGUACAGAACGAAAAGGUCUCUAUUAAUACUAGGGGCUCAUGACGGUACUGUAAGAAUAAGCACCGGCUAACUACGUGA